rnacentral:rRNA from 1 species
UUUUUUCCCGGGGCCCUAACACAUGCAAGKSGAGCGAUAWRSAUCUCWAGAGCUUGCUCUUAUGAAGUUAGCGGCGGACGGGUGAGUAACACGUGGGUAACCUGCCCAUAAGACUGGGAUAACUCCGGGAAACCGGGGCUAAUACCGGAUAACAUUUUGAACCGCAUGGUUCGAAAUUGAAAGGCGGCUUCGGCUGUCACUUAUGGAUGGACCCGCGUCGCAUUAGCUAGUUGGUGAGGUAACGGCUCACCAAGGCAACGAUGCGUAGCCGACCUGAGAGGGUGAUCGGCCACACUGGGACUGAGACACGGCCCAGACUCCUACGGGAGGCAGCAGUAGGGAAUCUUCCGCAAUGGACGAAAGUCUGACGGAGCAACGCCGCGUGAGUGAUGAAGGCUUUCGGGUCGUAAAACUCUGUUGUUAGGGAAGAACAAGUGCUAGUUGAAUAAGCUGGCACCUUGACGGUACCUAACCAGAAAGCCACGGCUAACUACGUGCCAGCAGCCGCGGUAAUACGUAGGUGGCAAGCGUUAUCCGGAAUUAUUGGGCGUAAAGCGCGCGCAGGUGGUUUCUUAAGUCUGAUGUGAAAGCCCACGGCUCAACCGUGGAGGGUCAUUGGAAACUGGGAGACUUGAGUGCAGAAGAGGAAAGUGGAAUUCCAUGUGUAGCGGUGAAAUGCGUAGAGAUAUGGAGGAACACCAGUGGCGAAGGCGACUUUCUGGUCUGUAACUGACACUGAGGCGCGAAAGCGUGSGGAGCAAACAGGUAWWAAAWWWACCMMU